rnacentral:rRNA from 1 species
GCAGCAGCCGCGGUAAUACAGAGGGUGCGAGCGUUAAUCGGAUUUACUGGGCGUAAAGCGUGCGUAGGCGGCUUUUUAAGUCGGAUGUGAAAUCCCUGAGCUUAACUUAGGAAUUGCAUUCGAUACUGGGAAGCUAGAGUAUGGGAGAGGAUGGUAGAAUUCCAGGUGUAGCGGUGAAAUGCGUAGAGAUCUGGAGGAAUACCGAUGGCGAAGGCAGCCAUCUGGCCUAAUACUGACGCUGAGGUACGAAAGCAUGGGGAGCAAACAGGAUUAGAUACCCCCGUAGUCCCUGUCUCUUAUAC